rnacentral:pre_miRNA from 1 species
UUACUUGCUUUAACAGUAUGCGUUAUUAUCGUAGGCUGCUAAUGCAAGC